rnacentral:RNase_P_RNA from 1 species
CGAGUCGGCAGGGCGGUCGCGGCGGAGAACCCGUCGAGGAAAGUCCGGACUCCGCAGGGCAGGGUGGUUGCUAACGGCAACCCGGGGCGACCCGCGGGACAGUGCCACAGAAAGCAGACCGCCUGGCGGUCACGCCAGGUAAGGGUGAAACGGUGGUGUAAGAGACCACCAGCACCCCGGGUGACCGGGGUGGCUCGGUAAACCCCACCCGGAGCAAGGUCAAGAGGGAGUCGAGAGGCUCCUGCGCAGGCGUUCGAGGGCGGCCCGUCCGAGUCUGCGGGUAGACCGCUAGAGCCCGCCGGCGACGGCGGGCCCAGAUGGAUGGCCGCCACCGGCGCACGCGCCGGUACAGGAUCCGGCUUACACGCCGACUCGUCCG